rnacentral:rRNA from 1 species
UACGUAGGGUGCAAGCGUUGUCCGGAAUUAUUGGGCGUAAAGAGCUCGUAGGCGGUUCGUCGCGUCGGCUGUGAAAACCCGGAGCUCAACUCCGGGCCUGCAGUCGAUACGGGCGGACUUGAGUACUGCAGGGGAGACUGGAAUUCCUGGUGUAGCGGUGAAAUGCGCAGAUAUCAGGAGGAACACCGGUGGCGAAGGCGGGUCUCUGGGCAGUAACUGACGCUGAGGAGCGAAAGCGUGGGGAGCGAACAGG